rnacentral:lncRNA from 1 species
CACGCAUCCCCUCAUCUUCGGCACAUAUGGGCCUGUCUGGCCGUGUUGGCUUUUGAACGUGCGUAUGCAGCUAUAUAGGCGUGCCUACGCGAUUCUUGCUUCGGCCGGCUACUUGACGGAACUUGCGUAACUAGCGACACGAAUAAAACUGAUCGAUGGAUUUGAUGGCUAAAGGCCCGUGUCGAGCCUUUGCUUUGUAUUGCUUUUCGUUUUUCUGGUGUUACAAUCAACACCCCUAGGGUGUCUUUUAUAC